rnacentral:rRNA from 1 species
AUCGGUGAUGGAUGGGGAUGCGUCUGAUUAGCUUGUUGGCGGGGUAACGGCCCACCAAGGCGACGAUCAGUAGGGGUUCUGAGAGGAAGGUCCCCCACAUUGGAACUGAGACACGGUCCAAACUCCUACGGGAGGCAGCAGUGAGGAAUAUUGGUCAAUGGGCGAGAGCCUGAACCAGCCAAGUAGCGUGCAGGAUGACGGCCCUAUGGGUUGUAAACUGCUUUUAUAAGGGAAUAAAGUGAGUCUCGUGAGACUUUUUGCAUGUACCUUAUGAAUAAGGACCGGCUAAUUCCGUGCCAGCAGCCGCGGUAAUACGGAAGGUCCGGGCGUUAUCCGGAUUUAUUGGGUUUAAAGGGAGCGUAGGCCGGAGAUUAAGCGUGUUGUGAAAUGUAGACGCUCAACGUCUGCACUGCAGCGCGAACUGGUUUCCUUGAGUACGCACAAAGUGGGCGGAAUUCGUGGUGUAGCGGUGAAAUGCUUAGAUAUCACGAAGAACUCCGAUUGCGAAGGCAGCUCACUGGAGCGCAACUGACGUUGAAGCUAGAAAGUGCGGGU